CAAUGGAAUAAUUUUUUUCAAGGAGUAAAUGGACAUUUUACAUGGUGCGCUGGAUCUAUUUCGUCUGUGGGACCCGCUUUUUUGACAAAUAUGACGUCGUUUUUCUAUGGCAGACAAAAAGUGCCGCUGCUUCUUUCAAGGCCCUAGCAAGCGUCCACCUUGUGGCCCAAAUGGCUUCCUCUUAUUAUUAUCAUCACUAUUAUUAUUAGUACAAAAAAGGCAGAAGAAAAUAUACAAAGACCCUAAUCUCAGUCAGUGGAGGUGUGGAAUAGUCUCCAUUGCUUGAAGGCCUAGCGUCUAUUAUCUCCGAUCCCAUUAUUCCGGCAAUCUCAGUUACAGACCAUUCAAUAAGUUUCUAUAAUCACCUGAAUUCAUAGACUAAUCUCUAACUUAAAUCGUGGCGUGGUUACUUCUUUUAUAUAUUUGCUUAAAAUAAAUAGUUUGAUUGAAAUGGCAAAGUCAAAGAACCACACUGCUCAUAGCCAGUCUUACAAGGCUCACAAAAACGGGAUCAAGAAACCUAAGAGGCAGAUGCACACCUCCAGCAAAGGGGAUUUUGAUAAAGUUAGGAUCAGAUGCUUAGCUUUCGUAUGGAGUUUAUAAUUAUGGUGGAAGUGUCCUGGUCUGGAGUUCAAAAAGUGCUGCUGAUAUUCUCUUGGAUUAGCUUGCUUCGGCCUUGUGGAAGCUUGAUUGUGUGGAAUGUCAUUGGCAAGAGUCUUCGUAUUGGAAGGUCCAAUUGUACGAGUAGGAAUAUUAUAUAGUAAGAACCUGUUCUUUACAUGGGUUGUAAUGUUUGUUAUCAUUUCCUCAAGACGACACUUUCUUUGAAAAGGUACAA